rnacentral:rRNA from 1 species
AAUGAACGUUGGCGGCGUGGAUUAGGCAUGCAAGUCGAGCGAUAACCGUAGCAAUACGGCGAAAGCGGCGAAAGGGAGAGUAACACGCGGGUACCUGCCCCCGGAUCCGGGAUAGCUACGGGAAACUGUAGGUAAUACCGGAUAACGUCUCCGGACCAAAGGUGUGAUUCCGUCCGGGGAGGGGCCCACGUCCUAUUAGCUAGUUGGCGAGGUAACGGCUCACCAAGGCCGUGAUGGGUACGGGGUGUGAGAGCAUGCCCCCGCUCACUGGGACUGGGCCCCUGCCCGGAACCCUACGGGUGGCUGCAGUCGAGAAUCUUCGGCAAUGGGCGCAAGCCUGACCGAGCGACGCCGCGUGCGAGAUGAAGGCCUUCGGGUUGUAAAUCGCUGUCGUAGGGGAGGAAAUGCCGGUGGGUUCUCCCAUCGGUUUGACCUAUCCUAGGAGGAAGGACGGGCUAAGUUCGUGCCAGCAGCCGCCGUAA